rnacentral:misc_RNA from 1 species
GUUGAGUUUUCUAGGGUUAGAGAUGAUUAAGCAAAUCUGAGAGACCAAGAAGAAGCAUAUAGGUAGCUCUCAUUAAAAUGAUGGUCGAAGUUAUCUCCUUUGACCGAUAAGACUCUAACACACAAGUAUAGAAGAGCAGACAAGACAAAGAAGCCGAGCAUAGAAGUUUCAAAGAGGGCAAGUUCUUCUUGCUGUUGACCUUGACAUAUCUCUAUAUAUAAGGUGAAUUGGUGAUGAAGAAUGAAAUGUGUUGAUAGAGACCAAGGAAAUUAGGAAAGAAAAGGAGGAGGAGAAAUGGUGGCUGUGAUUUUCCAACAGCAGGAGCCUCCCUCGAAGCUUCUCAAUGAGCUAGCAAGGACUUAGAGGAUUGCCCUUUUCUUCCUUCUGAAUAAAUUCUAUCUUUCCUAUUCUCUGUCUUUCUUGAGAGAGAGAGAGAGAG